GAUUCUCCUGCAUCAGCCUCCCGAGUAGCUGGGACUACAGGUGUGGACACAUUGAGAAGUCACUAUCUAUGAACUAGGAAGCAGGAUCUCACCAGACAUCGAAUCUGCUGAUGCCUUCAUCUUGGACUUCUCUCUCAGCCUCCAGAACUAGGUUAUUAAUCUGAAAGCGUCCAGGUCUCCAAAUGUGGUUCUCAAGGAACUAGGAAGCAAUUAUGGCAGCCAUGCAGAGCUGGUUUAUUGGUGUAUUCAUUUACGAAAUAA
rnacentral:lncRNA from 1 species